AAGGUGGUAUCUGAAAAACCUUUAAAAGAGUAGGAU
rfam:Flavobacterium hercynium strain DSM 18292 43415_contig_97, whole genome shotgun sequence.